rnacentral:rRNA from 1 species
GAUGAACGCUGGCGGCGUGCCUAAUACAUGCAAGUCGAGCGAAUGGAUUAAGAGCUUGCUCUUAUGAAGUUAGCGGCGGACGGGUGAGUAACACGUGGGUAACCUGCCCAUAAGACUGGGAUAACUCCGGGAAACCGGGGCUAAUACCGGAUAACAUUUUGAACCGCAUGGUUCGAAAUUGAAAGGCGGCUUCGGCUGUCACUUAUGGAUGGACCCGCGUCGCAUUAGCUAGUUGGUGAGGUAACGGCUCACCAAGGCAACGAUGCGUAGCCGACCUGAGAUGGUGCUCGGCCACACUGGGACUGAGACACGGCCCAGACUCCUACGGGAGGCAGCAGUAGGGAAUCUUCCGCAAUGGACGAAAGUCUGACGGAGCAACGCCGCGUGAGUGAUGAAGGCUUUCGGGUCGUAAAACUCUGUUGUUAGGGAAGAACAAGUGCUAGUUGAAUAAGCUGGCACCUUGACGGUACCUAACCAGAAAGCCACGGCUAACUACGUGCCAGCCGCCGCGGUAA